CGGAGGGUGCGAGCGUUGUCCGGAAUCACUGGGCGUAAAGGGCGCGUAGGCGGCAUGCCAAGCGUGUGGUGAAAGCCCGGGGCUCAACCCCGGGUCGGCCGUGCGGACUGGCGUGCUCGAGCACUGUAGGGGCGGGUGGAAUUCCGGGUGUAGCGGUGGAAUGCGUAGAGAUCCGGAAGAACACCGGUGGCGAAGGCGGCCCGCUGGGCAGGAAGAUGGCGUAAGCCAUCGGCUGACGCUGAGGCGCGACAGCGUGGGGAGCAAACAGGAUUAGAUACCCUGGUAGUCCACGCCGUAAACGAUGGGCACUAGGUGCUUGGGGGAGCGACCCUCCGGGUGCCGGCGCUAACGCAUUAAGUGCCCCGCCUGGGGAGUACGGCCGCAAGGCUG
rnacentral:rRNA from 1 species